rnacentral:rRNA from 1 species
GAUGAACGCUGGCGGCGUGCUUAACACAUGCAAGUCGAACGAUGAAGCCCAGCUUGCUGGGUGGAUUAGUGGCGAACGGGUGAGUAACACGUGAGUAACCUGCCCUUGACUCUGGGAUAAGCGCUGGAAACGGCGUCUAAUACCGGAUACGAGCUUCCACCGCAUGGUGAGUUGCUGGAAAGAAUUUCGGUCAAGGAUGGACUCGCGGCCUAUCAGGUAGUUGGUGAGGUAACGGCUCACCAAGCCGACGACGGGUAGCCGGCCUGAGAGGGUGACCGGCCACACUGGGACUGAGACACGGCCCAGACUCCUACGGGAGGCAGCAGUGGGGAAUAUUGCACAAUGGGCGCAAGCCUGAUGCAGCAACGCCGCGUGAGGGACGAAGGCCUUCGGGUCGUAAACCUCUUUUAGCAGGGAAGAAGCGAAAGUGACGGUACCUGCAGAAAAAGCACCGGCUAACUACGU